rnacentral:lncRNA from 11 species
CUCAAACACCUUCUCUAUACCCAUUCUGGCAAAAUAUGAACACAUUCCUGUGACCUUGAGCACCCUGCCUUCUAGCCAGAAUUCUCAGAGAACAUCUAGGAGGCCGAUUUCUCAGGAGCAAUCUAGCAUUUCUGUUUAAUUGCUCUUUCUCAUUAUUGCUAUCUGAAAGUAAAACACCUGGCAACUGUUGAUUUCCCCCAUUCUUUUCUGAGAGCUGUGAAUCUCUCUCACACUCAUGUCAGGGUCAGGCUGAUCUGAUCUGUAAGCUGCAAAUCACUCCCUCCCUCCUCUGCUAUGUCAUUCUGGCUCCCUGCCUGGGGAACAUUCAGAGGCUCAUUCUCAGACUGCAAAACAUUCUCAGACUGCAAAACACCAAAUCCUCCUUCAUCAUCAGACUGAGCCACAACACCAGCAAGCAUUUGGAGAAGGGUAAGGGGUGACUUUGAGGAGGUUGGGUGGGAUUGGAAGGGGGAGCUAUGAGUUUUAAAGGCCAUUUUAAGUGUAUUUAUUGUAUUUUAAUUCCAUUUUUACCACACUUUUACUAUUUCAUUUUUAAAAACUAUUGUGUUGCACUUGUACUGUGAGAUUGUUGACCGUCUUGAGUCCCCAUGGGGAUAGAGGUAGGGUAUACAUAAUGUUAAUCAUCAUCAUCAUCAUUAUCAUGCACUUUCUUCUUGCAGUCCGGGGAUUCUCCAAGCUGGCCAUUAUUGCCAUUGUCUUAGCGGCCCUGGCUGCCUUAGUGGAAAUGAUCAUGGAGCUUUUCGCCGUUUACAGUUAUUCUCGCCAAGAAGGUCGGACACUUUCUUCAGUUCUCAACUGUCCCUCUUGGGGGAGAUAAGCCCUGGGAUCCAAGAGACAAGCCUUUCCCUGGAUGAAUAAGAUAUGGAGUUUCCAUCUCCAGUGAAUGGACAAAGCCUGAAGAACAGAAUACAGAAAAAUAACACCGACACCUGUCGAGUCAUGAAAAUGAACAGAAAGGUCAGAUUGGUGAAAUCAUAUUGAUCUUGUUCAGGUUCCAAUUGGUACCGUUUGAGAAAAUACAUCUCCAACAUUUCAUCCUCUGCACUGAUGGACCAUGCAAUGACAAGAUCUUGCUCAAAAAUAAAAUGGAAGAGAACCCCAAG